rnacentral:rRNA from 1 species
UACGGAGGGAGCUAGCGUUAUUCGGAAUUACUGGGCGUAAAGCGCACGUAGGCGGCUUCCUAAGUCAGGGGUGAAAGCCUGGAGCUCAACUCCAGAACUGCCCUUGAGACUGGGAGGCUUGAAUCCAGGAGAGGUGAGUGGAAUUCCGAGUGUAGAGGUGAAAUUCGUAGAUAUUCGGAAGAACACCAGUGGCGAAGGCGGCUCACUGGACUGGUAUUGACGCUGAGGUGCGAAAGCGUGGGGAGCAAACAGG